GACUUGCUGUAUCAUGCGUGCGCGACGGUGCUAGAAGGAACAUUAUAACAUCUCUCUAUUCCAAUUCGAAACACGCUGCUGAGCCUGUUUAAAAACACGAAAGAAUCUUGUAUCUUGAUCUAAAACUGUAAUACAAAGAAGUGCAAAUAUCGUAACAAAUAUCUGUGUAUGGUAUACAAAAUAAAAUCAGUAUCUAUAUAAUAAUACGCCAGUCCGGUGUGUCUGUAACAGACAAAGUGGAUGUUUGUUUCUUCUAAAGAAACAGCCGCGAUGGAUGUAAAAAUGUGUAAAAGAAAUUACAAGGCUGGACCACCAUACCAAGUUGAAUGGUUGCAUUCCAAAAAGGGCCUCUGAACAAGUUAAAUUUUUUAUUUUGUUUGAAUUUUGUAUUGUAUACUUAGUGAUUAUAUUUACGAUGUAACGUUACAUAUACUUUCACAUAUUUAAAAAACUCUGAACAA